UAUAAGUGCAGAUGUAGGUUUCCGUGUCCAACAUGUAACUGUCCGUCUUAUUUAAAAAAAUAUUUAUGAUUAGUAUUUUUGUUGCUAUUACAUGAUAAAACAUGAAUUUAUGUGUGACUAAUUUUUUUUAUUUUUUUCAUAAUUUUUUUAAAUAAGACGAACGGUUAAAUGUUGUAUACGGAAACCCACAACUGUACUUAUA
rfam:Oryza sativa Japonica Group DNA, chromosome 7, cultivar: Nipponbare, complete sequence.